rnacentral:rRNA from 1 species
GGAGCCGUAGCGAAAGCGAGUUUUAACUGAGCGUUCAGUUACUUGACGUAGACCCGAAACCGGGCGACCUACCCAUGAGCAGGAUGAAGCGAAAGUAAAAUUUCGUGGAGGUCCGAACCCACGAGCGUUGAAAAGCUCGGGGAUGACUUGUGGGUAGCGGUGAAAUUCCAAUCGAGCCCGGAGAUAGCUGGUUCUCCCCGAAAUAGCUUUAGGGCUAGCCUCAAGGUGAGAGAUACGGAGGUAGAGCACUGAAUGUCCUAGGGGGUAUUGCACCUACCGAAGACUAUCAAACUCCGAAUGCCGUCAUCUUAUACUUGGGAGUCAGACUGUGGGUGAUAAGAUUCAUAGUCGAAAGGGCAACAGCCCAGAUCGUCAGCUAAGGUCCCUAAAUGUAAGUUAAGUGGUAAAGGAUGUGGGAUUGCACAGACAACCAGGAUGUUGGCUUAGAAGCAGCCACUCAUUCAAAGAGUGCGUAAUAGCUCACUGGUCGAGUGAUCCUGCGCCGAAGAUUUCCGGGGCUAAAACUUACUACCGAAGCUACGGCAUCAGUAAUGAUGGGUAGGGGAGCUUCCCAUACGGGUUGAAGCAUGACCGUAAGGACAUGUGGACAGUAUGGGAGUGAGAAUGUUGGCAUGAGUAGCGAGAUGUGGGUG